GACGAACGCUGGCGGCGUGCUUAACACAUGCAAGUCGAACGAAGAGCGAUGGAAGCUUGCUUCUAUCAAUCUUAGUGGCGAACGGGUGAGUAACGCGUAAUCAACCUGCCCUUCAGAGGGGGACAACAGUUGGAAACGACUGCUAAUACCGCAUACGAUCUAACCUCGGCAUCGAGGAUAGAUGAAAGGUGGCCUCUACAUGUAAGCUAUCACUGAAGGAGGGGAUUGCGUCUGAUUAGCUAGUUGGAGGGGUAAGGGCCCACCAAGGCGAUGAUCAGUAGCCGGUCUGAGAGGAUGAACGGCCACAUUGGGACUGAGACACGGCCCAGACUCCUACGGGAGGCAGCAGUGGGGAAUCUUCCGCAAUGGACGAAAGUCUGACGGAGCAACGCCGCGUGAGUGAUGACGGCCUUCGGGUUGUAAAGCUCUGUUAAUCGGGACGAAAGGCCUUCUUGCGAAUAGUGAGAAGGAUUGACGGUACCGGAAUAGAAAGCCACGGCUAACUACGUG
rnacentral:rRNA from 1 species